UUAAAUGGCGUACAUGCCUCUUUUCAUUCGGUAAAGAGGACUUACAAGAUUUAAAAGAGGGCACCCACCUGCUGAGAGCGGGUUCAAAACAAAGGAAAGCUGCAACGGCACUAUUGGGACUUUA
rnacentral:sRNA from 1 species